AAAGAAAAUCUGACUAAGCUAAAUUAACUUAUAAAUUAUACGAUAGUAAAAAUCGACUGGGUCCUCUUCAGAGAAUAUUUAUAUACCUACAUUGUGGUAUUACGAUUUAUUGAUUUUUAGAACUGAAGAUGAGGAGCAGGAAUAUCAAGUAUUAAUGUAGUAGGUAAUAUUUUUAAAUGCACCUUUACCAAAUAAAUAAUUUACUUUAUUUUUUAUUUAAAAUUAUUAUGUAUAUUUUAUAUAAUAGUGGACUUCAAAGUUGUUAUCAGUUAAAUCAACUAUAGAAACACAUAAAAUAUAAGCAGAUAAAAAAAACAAAUAAGAAAUAAUUCCUACAUUAUUUUAAGUACCUACUCUAUAUCUGCUUGUAUAUGAAUCAAUUAUUAUUUUAAAUUAUGUAUAACACAUUUCCAAUGUCUACAAGUCUAUAGUGUAUAGGCACAUGUUUAGAUAUUAAAAAUUAAUUCGUUUUCAUAUUUUUAUAGGGAAAUUCCAAUAAAUGAACAGGACAAGAAUCUACAAGUGUUAGCAUUAAAAGUUGUAAUGAAGUAUCAAUUGACAUGUUUAAAAUGGAAAAAAUCAUAAAAGUGAAUGACAAAGAAGAAAAAAGUAAAUAUCAAUGUGGCAAGUAUCUUUUGAGUACGUAUUUUUCUCUCUUUUGUCUAAUCUCACCCCCUAAAUUUAUCCACACGCAAAAGAAAAAUAAGGUACAACAAAUUUUGGUUCAGUAUAUUUAUGUUAACUCAACUUUAAUUUAAAAUUUGGAUAUAUACUCAUAAUAAGGGCACGGAUGUUGUUUCAUUUGCAACUUUUUUUCCAUA
rnacentral:lncRNA from 1 species